rnacentral:rRNA from 1 species
CAGUAGCCAGGUAACACAGAGGGUGCGAGCGUUAAUCGGAUUUACUGGGCGUAAAGCGUGCGUAGGCGGCUUCUUAAGUCGGAUGUGAAAUCCCUGAGCUUAACUUAGGAAUUGCAUUCGAUACUGGGAAGCUAGAGUAUGGGAGAGGAUGGUAGAAUUCCAGGUGUAGCGGUGAAAUGCGUAGAGAUCUGGAGGAAUACCGAUGGCGAAGGCAGCCAUCCGGCCUAAUACUGACGCUGAGGUACGAAAGCAUGGGGAGCAAACAGGAUUAGAUACCCCGGUAGUCCCUGUCUCUUAUACA